UCAUACUAGUGGGUUGCCUUCCA
rnacentral:siRNA from 1 species